rfam:Ictidomys tridecemlineatus contig099316, whole genome shotgun sequence.
GGGGUUGUAGCUCAGUGGGAGAGUGCUUGCCUAGCAUGUGUGAAGCACUGAGUCCGAUCCUCAGCAACACCU